rnacentral:rRNA from 1 species
GGUUUCUUGAAUAAUAUUUAGGAGAUCUAACCUGCCCGCUGAAUAUUUUAUUUUGAAGGGCCGCAGUAUUUUGACUGUGCAAAGGUAGCAUAAUCAUUAGUCUUUUAAUUGAAGGCUGGUAUGAAUGGUUGGAUGAGGUGAAUACUGUUUUAUAUUAAGUUUAUAUUGAAUUUAGAUUUUAAGUAAAAAUUCUUAAAUGUUAUUAAGGGACGAGAAGACCCUAUAGAGUUUAAUAAAUGUAUUAAUUAAUCUGGUUAUUAUGGAAAAAUAUUUGAUUAUUAUGAAGUUUAUUUAAUUGGGGUGAUUAGAAGAUAAAUUGAACUCUUCUUUAAAUUUAAUAUUAUAAAUAAUUAUAUGAUCCAUUUUUAUGAUUGGAAGAUUAAAUUACCUUAGGGAUAACAGCAUAAUUCCUUUUAAGAGUUCUUAUUGAAAAAGGAGAUUAUGACCUCGAUGUUGGAUUAAGAUUAGUUUUGGGUGCAGAUGUUCAAUAACUAGGUCUGUUCGACCUUAAGAAUCUUACA